CCUACGGGGGGCAGCAGUGGGGAAUAUUGGGCAAUGGGCGCAAGCCUGACCCAGCAACGCCGCGUGAAGGAUGAAGGUUUUCGGAUUGUAAACUUCUGUCGCGAGGGACGAAGAAUGACGGUACCUGACUAAGAAGCCCCGGCUAACUACGUGCCAGCAGCCGCGGUAAUACGUAGGGGGCAAGCGUUAUCCGGAUUUACUGGGUGUAAAGGGAGCGUAGACGGUUAAUCAAGUCAGAAGUGAAAACCCAGGGCUCAACCUUGGGACUGCUUUUGAAACUGAGUAGCUAGAGUGCAGGAGAGGUAAGCGGAAUUCCUAGUGUAGCGGUGAAAUGCGUAGAUAUUAGGAGGAACACCAGUGGCGAAGGCGGCUUACUGGACUGUAACUGACGUUGAGGCUCGAAAGCGUGGGGAGCAAACAGGAUUAGAUACCCGAGUAGUC
rnacentral:rRNA from 1 species